UACGUAGGGGGCGAGCGUUGUCCGGAUUUAUUGGGCGUAAAGAGCGUGUAGGCGGCCAGGUAGGUCUGCUGUGAAAACUCGAGGCUCAACCUCGAGACGUCGGCGGAAACCAUCUGGCUAGAGUCCGGAAGAGGAGAGUGGAAUUCUUGGUGUAGCGGUGAAAUGCGUAGAUAUCAAGAGGAACACCUGAGGUGAAGACGGGUUGCUGGGCUGACACUGACGCUGAGGCGCGAAAGCCAGGGGAGCAAACGGG
rnacentral:rRNA from 1 species